rnacentral:rRNA from 1 species
UACGUAGGGGGCAAGCGUUAUCCGGAUUUACUGGGUGUAAAGGGAGCGUAGGCGGCCAUGCAAGCUCGGUGUGAAAGGUGCGGGCACAACCCGCAGACUGCACUGAGAACUGUAUGGCUGGAGUGCCGGAGGGGCAGGCGGAAUUCCUGGUGUAGCGGUGAAAUGCGUAGAUAUCAGGAGGAACACCGGUGGCGAAGGCGGCCUGCUGGACGGCGACUGACGUUGAGGCUCGAAAGCGUGGGGAGCGAACAGG